UACGGAGGGGGCUAGCGUUGUUCGGAAUUACUGGGCGUAAAGCGCACGUAGGCGGCUUUGUAAGUUAGAGGUGAAAGCCCGGGGCUCAACUCCGGAAUUGCCUUUAAGACUGCAUCGCUAGAAUUGUGGAGAGGUAAGUGGAAUUCCGAGUGUAGAGGUGAAAUUCGUAGAUAUUAGGAAGAACACCGGUGGCGAAGGCGGUCCACUGGCUCGGUACUGACGCUGAGAUGCGAAAGCGUGGGGAGCAAACAGG
rnacentral:rRNA from 1 species